CGUAGGGGGCGAGCGUUGUCCGGAAGUUAUUGGGCGUAAAGAGCGUGUAGGCGGUUCGGUAAGUCUGCCGUGAAAACCUGGGGCUCAACCCAGGCGUGCGGUGGAUACUGCCGGGCUAGAGGGUGGUAGAGGCGAGUGGAAUUCCCGGUGUAGCGGUGAAAUGCGCAGAUAUCGGGAGGAACACCAGUAGCGAAGGCGGCUCGCUGGGCCAUACCUGACGCUGAGACGCGAAAGUGUGGGGAGCAAACAGGAUUAGAUACCCUGGUAGUCCACGCCGUAAACGAUGAACACUAGGUGUGGGCGGAGUCGAAUCUGUCUGUGCCGCAGCCAACGCGUUAAGUGUUCCGCCUGGGGAGUACGGCCGCAAGGCUA
rnacentral:rRNA from 1 species